GCGAAGCCCGGAAACUUCGAGUUCAGCGACUGUGCACGAAGUUGGAGCAGCGAGGCCAGAGAGAGGGGCAUUAGUACCCGGAGCUGGCCGAGUUUCGUGACCCGGACUACGGCAGAGCCUACUUCUAGGGACCUCCAGACAGUCCUGGCGGUGGCCAUGAACUUGACCCCGUGCUCCUCCUGCCUGCAUCGCCCCGGGGCUCCGGUUGACCUGAACACUCAAAGCUGGCUUGCAGCUCCUCUGAAGGGCACAUUGUCAGCAAUGAUUGAAGUGGCAUCUUACCCAGGAGCGGCUGCAGGCUCGAGCUGCCAGGGUUCCCGGCCAGCUUUCUAAAACACCAUUAUUCUUGGACAUGCAAGUCGAACGAGUGAAAACCUGAAUUCUCCCCACCCCCACGAUCAUCCUGCUUGUUUUAACUAGAUUAAGUGCAUCUGUUUACUAAGUCUUCAUAAUGUCCUGGGUACUGAAGAUUUAACGCCAUUAAACGUGCCUUUGUGGAAAGAGGCAAAUC
rnacentral:lncRNA from 1 species